rnacentral:lncRNA from 1 species
CUACAUAGUAAAACGCAUUGCUCGAUGAUUCAGAUUGAAUUAGACAAUGAAAAAAAAAAAAAAAAGUGAUUUUUCCCAUUUGUUUUCCUCUUCCAGGAUCAACUUUUAAGCAGAAGUCUGUAUCAGCACAAUUGGGUGGAACAAAUAGCAGGGAUGAGAGAGCAAGAACAAGCAAUAAGGAAAUCUUCACUGUAAAUUUCCUUCAGCAACCACAUAACCUGGGGAACCUCAACAUAAACAGUCUUUGGGUACAUCUGCUGUUAUAUCUUGGCACAUAAGCCUCUCUUCCUUGUCCAGUGAGAUUCUCUGCUUUACUCUGAAUGGUUCUCCUUACAACUGAUGAACAAUCUCUCAGAACACAAAAUAUGCUGCUGGGCACAGAUCCCAGCAUGUGCUGUAUCUGAACCUGAUGGAAAGACUGCACAAGUUAUAGCUCUAGGACUGAUAUCCUUUCUCUGUUUCAGUUCAUGUGAUCUGCUUUAAAAUGGAAGUAAAUCUCUUACCAUGCUUUCUUCUAUGUCUUAAUCAGGAUCAUCCUCUCUUAUGGAAAAUAUCAGUGGUCAGGCAACAAAAAUUUUCCAAGAAAUAUUAUUUUAGGAAGAGUAUUAUUUGCCUCUGUAUCACCAAAGAAGAUUCCAUUGGGACAAGUGAAAUUACAGCCUUGGCUUCAGGAUGGCCUCUGUGUUGCACUGAGCAUGUGGUGGUCAAUUUUUUUCUUAACUUGAGGAAGAAACUGGAGGAAAAAAAAUAG